ACGAACGCUGGCGGCGUGCCUAACACAUGCAAGUCUACGAGAAAAGGGUAGCAAUAUCCUGAGUAAAGUGGCGCACGGGUGAGUAACACGUAGGCAAUCUGCCUUCAGGACGGGAACAACCCCGAGAAAUCGAGGCUAAUACCCGAUAAUGCAGCGACACCGCAUGGUGACAGUUGUUAAAUGCCCGCAAGGGCGCCCGAAGAUGAGCCUGCGCCCCAUUAGGUAGNGGUGAGGUAACGGCCCACCAAGCCUACGAUGGGUAGCUGAUCUGAGAGGAUGAUCAGCCACAC
rnacentral:rRNA from 1 species